rnacentral:rRNA from 1 species
UACGUAGGUGGCAAGCGUUGUCCGGAUUUACUGGGCGUAAAGAGCGCGCAGGCGGUCGUUCAAGUCGCGUGUGAAAGCCCCCGGCUCAACUGGGGAGGGUCACGCGAUACUGAUCGACUCGAAGGCAGGAGAGGGUAGUGGAAUUCCCGGUGUAGUGGUGAAAUGCGUAGAUAUCGGGGAGGAACACCAGUGGCGAAGGCGACUACCUGGCCUGUUUCUUGACGCUGAGGCGCGAAAGCUAGGGGAGCAAACGGG